AACGAACGCUGGCGGCAGGCCUAACACAUGCAAGUCGAACGCUCCGCAAGGGGAGUGGCGCACGGGUGAGUAACACGUGGGAACCUACCUUCUGGUACGGAACAACCAAGGGAAACUUUGGCUAAGACCGUAUACGACCUCCGGGUGAAAGAUUGAUCGCCGGAAGAGGGGCCCGCGUCCGAUUAGGUAGUUGGUGAGGUAACGGCUCACCAAGCCUUCGAUCGGUAGCUGGUCUGAGAGGAUGACCAGCCACACUGGGACUGAGACACGGCCCAGACUCCUACGGGAGGCAGCAGUGGGGAAUAUUGGACAAUGGGCGCAAGCCUGAUCCAGCCAUGCCGCGUGAGGGAUGACGGCCU
rnacentral:rRNA from 1 species